CCUUCGUUCAACCUAACUCUUAAAAUAGCUCAUAGAUUUAAUUUAGGUGAAAACGAACUUUCAACCUUAGAAUCGUCAUUAGUAUGUGAGAAUAACUUUCACACCAAGAUCAUGUGUUCUCAUGAGAAUGGACGUUCAAUCAACCCAAUAGGAUCACCAUGAUCAUGUAUAUUUCAUGCAUAAUAAUGUGUAAAGGUGUGUAUGAGAACUAUACUUUCAAUUGACACCAGAGAUACAUCAUAAUCGUGUUUAUGCAUGGAGUGUGUGUAAUUGUCCUUGUAAUGACACAACAACAGCAAUAUCAUCGUAGAAACUUCCCUCUCAAAGUGUUCAUAAGCAUGUAUAACAUCACAAUAAUGCAUAAUUCACUUAUAUUGCAUUCAAGGAUAAUAUACCGUGUAAAUCAACACAUCCAACACUGACUAUGAUAGACAUGGAUGUAAUCAUACUUCAAGUAAUUCUUUUAUUGUAUGUAUAAACUCAUAAACUCAUAUUGUCACGUGAGUAGGAUCCUUUUCUUAAUUGUCACAAUCAUAAAAUGGACGUGAUGACACUCAUCUUAUCCCAUAAAGAUAAGUCAGCAUAAAAUUCAACUAAUAUAGUGAAUGCUGAAUUAAAACAUCAAUAAAAGUCUAAUAUUGUAAAAUACUGCGGAAAACAAGGUCAUAAUUAAACCCUUAAAACCUGGUUGUCACGUGUAAAAGCCUCUAAAGUAUUACAACUGAAUCAAAAGAAAAAUACAAGUCUCACAUGACAUUGUUUCUAGAGUAGAACAAGAUCAUAAAUAGGAGUAAGAAGGUCUACCAAAUGACAAGUAACUAAUCUCACAAACCUCCAUAAGAAGCCUCAGACAAGGAGAAGAGAAAAUAUCACAAAGGUGUUCAUGCUAAUAACCUGCAAAAAAUUGUAGAAGUAAGGGAUGAGUACCAAACCACACGGUAAUCAACAAGUAAACCUCCAAAAACAAGUUAAGGGGAUAAAUACGGGUACUCCUUACACCUCAACCGAACCUCUACAACUACAACCUGCAUAAAAUCAGCCCAACCUAAUAGUUCACCAUUUACAAGCACAUAUCUCACAACAACAUUCUAACAAUCACAUAUACUCAACAACAAGCUCAAUAUUCAUCAAUUAUAACCUCCACAAAAAGACACUCACAAUAUCAGCAAUACAUACGAUCAAGUUCAUCAAAUAGAGAUAACCAAAUAUCAAGUACUUUUCAACCACCAAUAAAAUACAUUAUCAUCAAGACUGAAGGAUGUCAGGGGAUACAAUGCAAUAUGACACCAUGAAAUGAUAUGCCUCAAAAUACCAAGUACUCGCUUAACCUUGUAUACAUGAUACUCCUCAGGAAUACAUUGAGAGUUCAUGACCCAUGAGGGACUCAAGAGGUCCAUAUAUCGGCACGGAUGAUCUCCACGUGUCUGUGCGGACGAUCUCAACACACUAUCAUAAAAUAAAACAAUUCCCAGCACAGACGAUCUCCACGUGCCCAACUUAUAAUCAUAGACAAUUUCCUCGCAUGGAUGAUCUCCACGUGCCCAAAUUAUAAUCACACUCGAUCUCAACAUGGACGAUCUCUACGGGUUAGACCUUUUACUUAUACUCAAUCUCAUGUCAAUGCAUGUGCACAAUAUGAUAUCAAAUAAAGAGGAGAUGCAAUAUCUCAAUAAAUUAAAUGUCGUUAUGACAUAUAAUCACCUCAAUUAUCACAAUGCUAUGGGUUUAGUAAAGAACACAAUUACACAAAAUAAAUCUAGUCAAUAAUAUAUAAUAUAAUGUCCAUAUGUUUUGGCAUUCUCAUAUUGCAAUUCACAUUCUAUAGUAAUAAACUUUGCUUUUAUAACACUAAUACUCGUACUAUUCUCAAACCAUCACAUACAAACACUUAAUCAUUUGCCUUUUAUCACUCCUUUUCAUCAUUAGAAUUAAUCAAGGUAGAAAAAUCAACCCUUCACCAAGUCCCGUUACUCCCAACACAUACCAUAAGAAAAUACACAAUUUCAUACACUUAACAAGGGUUUAGAAAUUUCACUUGCCUCAAAUAGUCGAACAAUCGCUCUAGGAUUUAAGACUUGUCGUUUCGUUGAAAUUCCAAAUAAAUGCAAUCUACUCAAAUAUGUAAUCACCAUAAGAUUCCAAAACUAACAACACUCGGUGCUAUAUGUCUAGCUAAGACCCAAAAACUCAUUCAAAUAUAUAAUCAAGUUCCUAAUCUUGAAUUCUUGAUGUCAAUUGGCAUGUCAACUCUUAUAUUUCUAAAUUUCAAGUCUAGGGUUUAGUUACAAUUUCUUCAAUAUAAUAAUAUUCAUAUAAUACAAUAUAUUUAAUAUUUAAUUAUCUAUCUCAAUAUAUCAAAAUUUAAUUUAUUGAAAUUAUAGAAAAAAAUUGAAAUAAAAGUCAAAGUUACAAAUAAUUAAGCGUGUCAAUUCGCUGAACAACAACAAUUACCCAAACUCAAUUCACAUUCCUUAAAAUCUUCAAUAUCCUCACAAGCCAUCCUUACGUAAGCAAUAACCUCAAACCUUAUCCAUCAUUAGCCGAUAAUGGCUUAAGUCUCAUCUCCUCAAAUUGUCUGAAGAACUUACUGCAAAAUUCUAAAUUUCAUUCUCAAUUUUGUCGAAUUUUCCUUCCUAAUUCAUUCCACUUUACAGUUUCUCCCCUAAGUUAGAGAACAUGGCACCAAUAUAAAUAUAAUUUGUAAAUUUAUCACACAAUUCAACAAAAAUAAUAAUAAUCUAAUCUCUACCAUAUCAUUAUACUAUAACUAAUGUAGGCACAUACAAAAAUGGAAGGCCGGGGGAACUCUUACCUGCAACCCUUCGUGUCCUUUUGUUUAGUAUCCGAGGACACUUUUUCUUUAAAUAAUUAAGUAUAAAAUUAAUAAACCCUAUUACUUAUUUUAAUAUAUAGGCCAAGUUGAAUAUGAUAUUAAGGAAAUUAUGGAUUUGGCCCAUUAAUCACCAACUAAUAAAAAAUUUAUUUAAUAAAUACUCGUCAUGUAAAUAGCUUUAGUUUUCGAAUAGUUCAAAAAUUUUCAAACACACUUUAUUGACUGGUCAGAAAUAACUCGAGACAACUAUCGAGAGGGAUAAAACAAUAAUUUUAUAAAGAUUCCCAAGAAUGAAUUUUCAGGAUAAUACAAUAAUAAUACCAUAUACAAUUAAAAAUGCACAAUAAGUUAACACCUCUACCUUUCAAGUGGAUCACCAUAUAAUCUAACUUUCGAGGUUAACUAACCACAUACUUCAUUCUUACUAUAUUAUAGUCAUAUAACAUCAAGUAAACUCAAUCUCAAUACUAUUUAUCCAUGAUUCAUCAUAUAAGACCUAAUCAAGUUAGUUCAUGUCUACAAGAAUCAAUCUUAAGCAAUUCAUGUCUAGAUAUUCUAAUCCAAGGCAAUUCAUCAAUUUUAGGAGUUCACAUCUAACCCUCAAUUUGCUUCUUCCAUGACUUAAUCCUAAGUUAUAUCAAUUUCACCCUAGAAUCUUUGGUUAAUCAAGAAUAUAAGUAGAUUCAUACUUAAAUCAAGUAAUUACAUCCUUAUCAACUCUCAUUCAAUCAAUUGAAUCAACAACAUUCAUAAUGUAGAGAAGAGUCAAAGCUAAGAUAGGGGAAAACUUAUGGAUUCUUUGGAAUUCAAGUUAAAAUCAUCUAAAAUUUGUAGUAUCAUCAAUAACCAACAUAAUUCAACCUUUUAUAAUAACUUUGAAAGAAAUCUAUGAGGUUGAAUUGAAACCCUAGCUUUUCAAGAUUUCUAGAAUUGAAUUAAAGCUUUUGAGAGGGCUCCAUGGUGAUAACUACCAUGGAUGAAAACUUUACCUUAGGUUUAGAAUCCAAUCAAAUUCGUAUAUAAAAUAUCCAAUCUUCAAGCCUUAGUUGAUCUCUUUCUUGGUUCUUCAAUGGAGGUUCUAGAGAGAAGAUUUUUGGAGGGGAAAGUAGUUGAGUUUUGAUUUGGGGUCUUGGGAUAUA
rnacentral:lncRNA from 1 species